CAGUAGCCGCGGUAAUACGGAGGGUGCAAGCGUUAAUCGGAAUUACUGGGCGUAAAGCGUGCGUAGGCGGCUUCUUAAGUCGGAUGUGAAAUCCCUGAGCUUAACUUAGGAAUUGCAUUCGAUACUGGGAAGCUAGAGUAUGGGAGAGGAUGGUAGAAUUCCAGGUGUAGCGGUGAAAUGCGUAGAGAUCUGGAGGAAUACCGAUGGCGAAGGCAGCCAUCUGGCCUAAUACUGACGCUGAGGUACGAAAGCAUGGGGAGCAAACAGGAUUAGAUACCCCAGUAGUCCCUGUCUCUUAUAC
rnacentral:rRNA from 1 species